CAGAGCAAUUCAGAAGAAGAGACAUACUGGACUUGAAACAUAACUCUGUUUCUCUCUUCACAGAUGCUGCCAGAGAUGCUGAGCUUCUCCAGCAUCUUCUGUUUUGAUUCCACCUGCAUUCUGUCUAUGAUGGCUGACCUAAUUGUUUGGUUUUGCAGUGCUCACUUCUUAGCAGCUUCUAUGAAAAGUAAUCAUGUGUGCAUGAAAUAUUGGAGGGCUUCUGCCUUAAUGAACUUGGAUACCAGCUUGAAGCCUUCAUGGAAGGACAGAUGUUCCAGGGAUGAGCUCAGAGCUAGGCACAUGGCAUCUUGUGGAUCUGUUAUGUCGGUAGGCAAAUUGGAGGGGAUUGAGGCCGGCUGUGAGAUCGGAGUUGAUGUGGGUCAUGACCAGCCUCUCGAAGCACUUCGCGAUUAUUGAGCUACAGGAAAAAUACCAGUGAAAUGGAAUGGACCUGAAACUCCAAUCAUGACUUGAUCACAUCAAUAAGAUUUUAUCUUUCCAGAAGAUUGGGUUAUCAUUUUCUCAAACUUGUGACAUAAACUGGAUUGUUUUAUCCCAAAGGAAAAUCCAUUUAAUACACAGCAAAAUGAGAAAAAAAAUCAUGU